UCCUAGAACAGCCCCCAAAGGACCCCCGGGUAAACCGGAACACCACCCACUCCCUCCCGACCCCCACAAGCCUUUUUCUUCUAAGAUUCUUCUUUUGUGGGAUGAAUGAUGCACAUGAUUGUGGUGCGUGCAUUUCCAUCCUCGACCCUGCAUCUCUAGGCCUGGACACAUAUGGCUCAGCCGCCGCUGGUGUUCCAGCCUGAGAGGGCCACUCACCUCUGCCUUCCCACCUCCCCUGCCCUUGGCUUUAAUCCUCUGAGGCUUACAGCAGCCACCCAACUGCUCUUUUUGCUUCAACUUCCUCCUCUUCCUCUCCUUCAACUAGAACAAAGAUAGAUGGUGCGGAUCACCAAGAAAGCAAAGGGAUAAAGCUGAUUUGGGUGUCCUGGGGAGCGGAACAGGGGCACUGGGAUUGGAUGGGCCAGUUGUGGUGGGUGCGGGGGAGUGGCAGGCAGGGUGUUGUGACGAUGAGAGGAGGCGGGUGGCCCACGACCCACCCAAGCGGGGCUGCAACCCGACCCCCACACCGCCGGUGAACUCUUUCCCUGUCUGCCUUGUUGGAUUUGUGCUUUGUGUCCCCUUCCCCAGUGGAGGCAGCACCUUCGAGUGCAUCUCCUUCCACCUACCUCUGUUCCAUUUACGACGUCACGGUAAUAUUAUGAUGUCACGCACGUUUUAUUUCCAUGAAGUAAGAUUCGAGGUUUCACAUGAAUAAUUCAUGAUCUCAUGGAUCAGAGAAGAAGAUGAAUGACAAAGAUCCGAGAUGGGCCCUAAAAAGCUUCUGUACGGUGCGUGAGCGGAAGUAAUCACACUUGUAAGGAAUGAGUGAUGCCACACUUACGGAUAGAUUCCGACUCCAAUAAUCGACUAUUGGUUUGCGUGUAGAACAGCAACACCAGAUAGAUCGCAGGAAGCUAAUUCUAAGGUAUAAUGGCUGACACCUGUCGAUUUUUGGUGUGGUUAAGCCAUAUCUUCUUUUUGUUAUAAAUCAUAUCUUCAUGAUAAUAAUUAAGAUUAUUCUUCGGUGAUUUGGAUGCAUGACAUGAUGAUGAUGAUGAUGAUCGGAGUGGUUGUCUACUUA